rnacentral:rRNA from 1 species
AUACAGAGGGUGCGAGCGUUAAUCGGAUUUACUGGGCGUAAAGCGCGCGUAGGUGGCUAAUUAAGUCAAAUGUGAAAUCCCCGAGCUUAACUUGGGAAUUGCAUUCGAUACUGGUUGGCUAGAGUAUGGGAGAGGAUGGUAGAAUUCCAGGUGUAGCGGUGAAAUGCGUAGAGAUCUGGAGGAAUACCGAUGGCGAAGGCAGCCAUCUGGCCUAAUACUGACACUGAGGUGCGAAAGCAUGGGGAGCAAACAGGAUUAGAUACCCUGGUAGUCCAUGCCGUAAACGAUGUCUACUAGCCGUUGGGGGAUUUGAUCCUUUAGUGCCGUAGCUAACGCAUUAAGCGCCCCGCCUGGGGAGUACGGCCGCAAGGCUAAAACUCAAAUGAAUUGACGGGG